UGGGGAAUUUUGGACAAUGGGCGAAAGCCUGAUCCAGCAAUGCCGCGUGUGUGAAGAAGGCCUUCGGGUUGUAAAGCACUUUUGUCCGGAAAGAAAUCCUUGGCUCUAAUACAGUCGGGGGAUGACGGUACCGGAAGAAUAAGCACCGGCUAACUACGUGCCAGCAGCCGCGGUAAUACGUAGGGUGCAAGCGUUAAUCGGAAUUACUGGGCGUAAAGCGUGCGCAGGCGGUUUGCUAAGACCGAUGUGAAAUCCCCGGGCUCAACCUGGGAACUGCAUUGGUGACUGGCAGGCUAGAGUAUGGCAGAGGGGGGUAGAAUUCCACGUGUAGCAGUGAAAUGCGUAGAGAUGUGGAGGAAUACCGAUGGCGAAGGCAGCCCCCUGGCAAGUACUGACGCUCAUGCACGAAAAGCGUGGGGGAGCAAAACAGGAUUAGAUACCCCUGGUAGUCCACGCCCUAAAANGAUGUCAACUAGUUGUUGGGGGAUUCAUUUCCUUAGUAACGUAGCUAACGCGUGAAGUUGACCGCC
rnacentral:rRNA from 1 species